CGCAGUUGCACUUGUUCUGCAGCAAUACAUUUUAGAAUUUUCUGAAAAGAUUGAUGUAUAUUUAUUUAUUCUUCUUUGUCUGUUUUGAUGCAGAAGGUGUGUAUGUAUAUAUAUGUAUGUAUAUGUAUAUAUAUAUUUGACUUCACAGUAUGCUCAUUGACUAUUUCUAGUGUUUACUGUGAUAAGCCUGAGAAAAAUCUGAAUUUAAAAAAAAAUCUGUGUCUAACUUAUCAGACUUUUCACAUUUGUAUAAUGCGACACUGUACUACACAAAGUUUU